UACGAAGGGGGCUAGCGUUGCUCGGAAUCACUGGGCGUAAAGCGCACGUAGGCGGGUUCUUAAGUCAGGGGUGAAAUCCUGGAGCUCAACUCCAGAACUGCCUUUGAUACUGGGAAUCUCGAGUCCGGGAGAGGUGAGUGGAACUGCGAGUGUAGAGGUGAAAUUCGUAGGUAUUCGCAAGAACACCAGUGGCGAAGGCGGCUCACUGGCCCGGUACUGACGCUGAGGUGCGAAAGCGUGGGGAGCAAACAGG
rnacentral:rRNA from 1 species